UACGAAGGGGGCUAGCGUUGCUCGGAAUCACUGGGCGUAAAGCGCACGUAGGUGGGUCGUUAAGUUGAGGGUGAAAUCCCAGGGCUCAACCCUGGAACUGCCCUCAAUACUGGCGACCUUCGAGUCCGGGAGAGGUGAGUGGAACUGCGAGUGUAGAGGUGAAAUUCGUAGAUAUUCGCAAGAACACCAGUGGCGAAGGCGACAUCCUGGACCGGUAUUGACGCUGAGGCGCGAAAGCCAGGGGAGCAAACCGG
rnacentral:rRNA from 1 species